rnacentral:piRNA from 1 species
UGCCUGUCCAUUUCUGUUGUGUGCAGA